GACUGCAUGUAUGUUUGUGUACCAUGUGCAUACAGUGCCCUUAGUGGCAGAAGAGGGCACUGGAUUCCCAGGACCUGGAGGUUCAAAUGAUUGUGUCCUACCAUGCGGGGGGCUAAGAAUUGAACCCUGGUCUUCUGCAAGAGCAGCCAGCGCUCUUUACCGAUUUGGUAAGCGUGCCAAGCAAGAUCUACACAUUUUUUAUAAGACUGGCAUGUUUGGACUUUUUGGAAGCUGUUUUCUUUCUUAACUGCAGUAUGCUGGAAUACAUAAGAUGACACCCCAACAUGUUGGGGAGUCAAACAAAGAUGUUCUGAAAAGCCCACACCGUGUCACCGUAGCAGCCAUAGCCUCCUCCAGUUCCCAGCUCAUCAACAGAAUCUCCAGCACAGCCAAGACGUGUCAGAAUCACGUUAAGAUUAAUUUAAUAAAAAAAUAUACAAGGAGAAACUCCAGAAAGCCAUGGUACAAUCCUUGGGAAUUAUCUCUAACCCAUGUUGCAAUGCAUAUUCAAAAAGACUUUGGCAUUCAAAGAUCUCUUGGUCUUCCAGGAAACAAGAGAAGAGUGGCUGUUCAAACUUGGAAACUGUCAGUCACCCAGUGAAAAAGACGGGGGCAGGAUAGGGGAGAAGGAGGCUUGGAAGAUGAAUGCAUCUUUGUAUAUGCACCGGUGCAGACGGCAUGGGUGCCAGGCAAAGGUAAAUGGAGACAUGUGUACCAACCAAGGCAAAAGAAAGGACUUGCAACGGAAAUGCGUUUCAACUUUUAUUAUGAAUGUCCAAAGUGACAGCAUACUGCGGGAGGUGUCUUACAGAUUACAUUCCAAGGGACCACAGAUAAAGAAUUCCAAGCACUUUAAUUGUUCUUUUUUUUUUUUUAACAAAACAAACAAAAGAAUGAUUAAAAAUACUGUUCUGGGUAUAAGCGAUGCUCAUAUUUGAGUUUUUGAGUCCUCCCUCCCCCAAGAAUUGUGUGAACACUUGUGGUUUCAAAAACACAAAUUAGGUCUGGCCUUCUGCAGCGAGCUGUCACCAUCACUGCCUGCAUUAGAAGCGCCUCAGGGCACUAAGCUACCAUUCAGUGGGCCUGAUCGUCACCAUGUUCCUUCCUCUCCCACAAGGCUUCCCAUCUUCGCCUGGGUACCUGCUGCUUGCAUGACAGGACAGGGAGGCCGGAGCAAAGGGUCCAGGACAGUUUGCUGACCCUGGCUUUUCUCAAAGCUCAGUUAAAAAGGAUUUUAAAAAUGAAAGCUUACAACUUUCAGUGUUUUCGAGUGUCCAAAGAAGUCACUAAUGACAAUGGAUUGAAGCCGCAGGCUUCACUUUAAUGCUUUGUACGUGGCUUCACAGUAGUAAGCAUCUACUGUGUUCAAGGGGAAAAAAAAAAACCCAAAAACCAAAAAAUAAAUCGCUGGUGUAGUAACACUAUGGUUCUGGCCAUCUGUGGUUCCGGCACAGUAUGACUCGCCCUGGGACGGUCUCCUCGCCCUCUGUCCUUCCCAUCACGCACUGGACGAUGCUACUGAUGGAGUCUGUUGCCAGUGAUUCCUCAACCAGUUUUGGGCAGUGGGAGUGCGUAUCUCUUACGGAUGUAAAUACUGUUCGUCUGAGCGGAUCCUCAAAAAGAACAGGUAUGAACUAGAAACUCAUAGAGUUUGUGUCUAGAAAUUUAUAAAAUUAAACCUGCUCCGACAGGUAAUACAGGGAGGCAUGCUUGUAACCACGCCUGAGAGCACACAGCCUUCUCAACAGGCAACGGCGGGGCUCCUUUUAAUGCUUCCGGUGUGAUGCCCAUUAGAACUUUGAAGCACGUCUGUCUCAUUUAUUUCUACAAGGCCUGGGACCCGGGAAGCUGCCAGGACUUCAUCAUCUUGCCUGUUGACAAAAGGAAUAAUAACGUCAUCACUGGUGAACUAAACGUUUCCCUGCUGCCGAUUCAUCUCUCCUGGAUCUCCCAUGACUCUGCCACCAGAGACAAAGACCCUUAAGUCUACCAGCACCACUGUGACCCUGAAUGCCCUCAAGUUAGGGCACAGGCAAGAGCUUCGGACAGCCAUGGAAACACACUGUGGAAGGGCGGCAGGGAAGCUAUGCUCACCACCCACGGGAUCCUUCAGAAAACAUCUAAAUGAGAAAAAGAAACAGAUUUGCCACUGUUUUUUAUCCAACAACAAAAGUCAACUUUCUUAAUUAUGUUGGGAGAAUUUCAGUGUUUUCAAAUGGAAGAGACAAUUAAGCAGAACGCAGUUUGGAAAAACAGUUGGUGCUGAGGGAGAAAAGCGAAUCGUACUUCUUGUUCACCAGCACCAGGAAGUGAAGCCACAGCCAUGGUCCUCAGGUUGAUAAAAUUAGAAAAGGCAGUUCCUUGUAAAUCAACCAGAAAAAAAAAAAAAAAAAAAAAAACGAACUGGGCUCCAGAGUGUCAAAGGAAUACCUGAUUGAGUUCAGUCAUAAAAACUAACUUGGGGUCUGUGAAGAUGGCUGGCUCUGUGGGGAUCCAGGCCCUAGUCUGGAUUCCCUAUGUAAGAACCUGGCAUGGUGGCUCUUGAGUCUCUAUCCGGGGUGCUGAGGUGGGGGCGGGAGGGGAAGAGCAGCCCUCAGAGGCUUGCUCUCCAGCCAACCUGGUCAAAGCUGAGCUGCAAGUGCAGUGAGAGACCCUACCUCAAAAACAAAAGUAAGGUGAAGACGUGGGGAAAUAGGGCAGUGUCAGCGCUGGCCUCCACGCACUCCCAAAGGCAAGUGUAAGCACACACACAACUACCUAACGUGGACCGGAGCGGGUAAGCUGUCUACCACAAACGUGGAAUCUCAAUUACCUGCAAUCUGGAGAAAUGGAGCAGUGUGCACAGACUUCCAGGACCACAACUACACUUGAAAUAUAAAUCCAAGCCAGGUGGUGGGGCACCCCUUUAAUCCCAGCCCUCAGGAGGCAGAGGCAGGCGGAUCUCUGAGUUUGAAGUCAGCCUGGUCUACAGAGUGAGUCCAUAUAGAUGAUCUAAUUAUUCAGACAGCUCCCUGAGAGGCCGGUGGGUUGACCUUCCUAACCCACCAGGCUUUUUGUGGCGGCAUGCUCAUUUUAAGCAAUGUGAGUGUCCAAAUCAUUUUCAUCGUUACACCGUUUUCACCAUGGUGGCCCUGUUCUCUUUCGGGUCCCGCACACAGAUACUGAACGCAGAAGUGCAGUCAAUGCUGAGGCCGCCCCACAGGAGACAAACAGCGACCGGAAGGGGAAGCACUCGCUAGGCAGCAAAAUUUCAAGAGCAUUUCCCCAUAUGAUUACUCUCUCUCGUUACCUGGGCAAGAGUCCCGAGUUAGAAUCCUCAAGACUUAAAGACAACAAAGACAAACAACAGGAAACUAAAAUAUACAAGAAUAAAAAUGUUACAAUGAGAUUAUUUUUUACUAGUUAUUACUGUUUGCUAGUUAAUUACUAUUUUUAAAACAGGCAAAAAAGACAAAAACACUUAAAAUUCCUCCUCUAUUUAAAAAAAAAAGAUAAAACAUUGACCAGGAGCUGGGGAUAUAGCUCAGUUUGUAGAGUUCCUGCUUAGAACGCAUGAAACCUCAUGUUCAUGAAACCCAACACCGCAUAAACGAGGCAGAGCAUGGUAGAAGAUACCCAUAAUUCCAGCAUCUGAGAGGAAGAGACAGAUCAGGAAAUCAAGGUUACCCUCAGCUAUACUUCACAUCUGAGGACAGCCUGGGCUACAUGAUCCUGUCUCAACAAAACACAGAACAGAGUAGGAACAUGCUUUCCCAACAUGACUUCCUGUGCACAGCCCACUCUUCAGCCACUUUCUCCCCUAUAGGCAUAACUCUUUCCUCAGGAGAAUUCUAGAAAAUCCAUCACAUCUCAGAAUUGUUAUUCUUUUACAUACCUAUUUUAAUGAUAAAAGUGGAAUGUUUCUUCCUUAUUGGAAAAAAACAUCAUAUUGGAACGAGAAAAAGUUACCACAAUAAAUUUACCUCCAAGUUUCACUAUUUCAUCAUUGGACAUAGGAUGAAAAGUCUACGUGGCAGAGGAGGGGUGCUAACUGACGGGGCAUGCGUGGCACGUGGCGGCGGCACGCAGAAGUCAGUCUGAGUGCAAUGUGGAGAAAAUAUUCACUAACAGGAAGUUUGGCUUGGGAAGAAUUUGUCCUUGUCAUUCUGUAUAAAACCACCUAGAGAAUUCUACUGUAUUUGGGGAAAAACAGAAUGGGAAAGUUGGAUAAACUAUACUUAUACACCAUAUGUAUAUAGAAUGAACACAAAGUGAGCGAGUGUGCGGUGCCUCGCACGACUACAUCAACAACCUCCACAGGCUCUCAGCUUCACAGGUGCACACGAACAGGUGAAGGAAAACACAUAUAUGCAUUUAAGAAAAAUACAACUGAUUGUGCUAAUUAUUUCUAAAAGUGCUGUCUAUCUUGGUUGACUGAAAUGCUCUAGAAUAUGAAUGUUCCUAUUCCAGGGCCACUAAUGACAAAGGGGAUCUGUGGGAUGAGAUGGGUCAGCCUUUCUCUGCUGUGACGUAAGAAACACGAACAGCUCGACCCCAUGACCUCAGUUCAGCAAAUUCUCGGAGACACAGUCCUGCCCUGGCAUUCUGGACACUGGAAAAACGGCUCAGUGGUGGAGAAUACUGACUGCUCUCCCAGGGGACUGGGGUUCGGUCCCCAGCACCCACACAGCAGUUGACAGCCCUAUACAUGUAACUCCAGCUCCAGGGUAUCCAAUGCUCUCUUCUUGCCUCCAUGGGCACCAGGCACACGUGUGGUGCAGACAUACGCUCAGGCAAAAUACUCGCAUACAUUAAGAAAAUACAGAAAUAAAGAAAAUUAGUGCAUGGGAUCAAUAACCAAACUAGAACGUCAGCCCCAAUGUUCCUUGGCUGACAAGGGAUGAGCUACUCCCCUCAUCGUCCUGGCUAUAGGCUUCUAUUAUUGUUUACAUAGUUCACGUAGGAAUGCAUAGACUUCUGUAGAUCUCACAAUUUGAAUAAUUGAGAUGAAUGGCCAUCUUUGGUUACACUGUGAACUUAUAGUAGACCUAGUGUUGGGGUACUUGUGUAUCUGUCAUCCAAAUGCUAACAAAGGCACUUACGAGUUAGGCCCCUGCCCACCAUUCACUUGCUUGACUUCUCAUUUAAAAGACACUGAGUAUAAAUGUCUUCCGCUGAAAACUUCCAAAGGAUGUGGUUUAUAUUUAAAUUGGCUACUGAAACCCGAUGCCAGACUUUGAAAGCAAUUCCCCAACUGUCACGUGCAGCUGUCAAGUAUGGCUCAAAGGAACGGACAAGAUGACAAAGGCAAAGACUUGCUCCUUAGGAUGCCGAGCACCCGGGCUCUGGGGAGCCGGGGUCCUGUCUGGAGAGAAGUGAGCCCACACGCACAGGCGAGCCUGAAUACAGCCGAGGUUUUAUAUUCUCCUCACUAAAAUCUCUACAGUUCAACAAGCCACGCCCUCAGUGCCAGCCUUAGUGGGACUGAAGAAUCCCCCACUGUAGAAGAACUCACUGCGGUUCUCAGAAAGGAGCAAGAUGUCUCAGUUUGUCAAACUUAACUGGGCUUGAGCGA